AACACAUUCAGCUGUGCAUUAAAGGCGCAUCCCCGCGCUAGCCACGUCCUCACGGUACGACAAAGAGGAGCCUUCCCUUCCUGACGAAGCGACCUUAUCGAGCCCCACCACUUUUCCUUUUUGUCUCAAGCAACCUUCCCUCUCCUCUCCUCAUUUUCUCUUCCCCGUGUAGGGUUGCCGCCGCCGCCGCCCCAUCGGCACAUCCAAGCUCCUCCGGCGCCCGCUCCUUCGUCGGGAGGACGAGACCAUGGUGGCGACGGACGGUGAGGAGGGGGCGUCCAGGUCGACGAGAAGCUGCGAUUUAGCGCCGCCGCCGCCUCUCAGCACGCAACCUCUCCUUUCCUAUCUCCUUUGCAGCUCCCCUGUUCCUCCGGUGGCAUCGAACCCCAUAGUCAUCUUCUACUUCCCUCUCUUAUUCCCUGUGUGUCCGCGAGAUGGGCCAAACCAGCACACACGGCAAAGGGCGGCUGCGGCUACGGCUCCGACGCAGGCGCCGUGGAGGUGGAGGCGAAGCUGCGGCGGCUAAUGGUGGACGGCCGCGUCAGCGACGUCAGCCUCGACGACUCGACGAGUUCCAUCACCUUCACUGCUACGCCAGGAGGCUGGUCUAGAUUAGGUUCCUUUCUUAGAGUAUGACAAGCUGAUGGUGAUCCUCACUCUGACAAAAUAGCGAAACAUUCAGUGCUGGAGCUUCCAAAGGGAUCUUCAUCCAGUGAUGAAGAUGGAUCCUGCAUAGAAAAUGAUUCCGUCGAAGCAUCUGAAGCUGAGUUACAGAAUUUUGACUUGUGACAUCGAGGAAGGAGAUUAUUAUGUGUAUGACAAAGAUGAAGUCUGCUAUAUAUGUGAAUGGCGAUGAAGGGUCUGAUUAUGAAUUUGAUGAAAGUGACUUCAAUCAGCAAAUUGACUUGAAUCAGCAGCUUGAUUAUAAAUUCGACAAUGUAGAUUGGGGAUACUCUGACAGCAAGGUUGUUCCACAUAUAUGGUCUAAUCAAAUAUUUGUGGUAAGGAUGAACGUCAGUAUGAAGAGAAAACAUAUAUCUGAACUAAAAUUACAAGCUACAAAGGCUUUUAAGAGAAAUGAAUAUAUCACAGCCGGACAGAUGUAUUCAGAUGCCUCCAAUCGCCUCUACUUCCACCCACGCUUCGGCUACGAGCAACUACAUAUCUACAUGUAUCAGCGCUUGCAUAAAGUUGUGCCAAACAUAUUGGAAACAGGAAACUGAAAAGGGCGCUUUCCCACCUGACACAGCCCAGCUACUCAGACGGAGCAGCAUGGGCACGCCCUAACCAGGUGUUGAGCUCCAUGGCUUCCCCGUGCCCCUCUCAGUAGAGGGUGUCGACUACAGGGCCCGGCGAAAGGAAUCAAGAUGUACACCGCCAGGAAAAACAUCGAGAAUAUGUCCAGCCACUCACUUUUGUUUUGUUUUGGUAAUCUUCCUUCAUAGCGAAUCCCUUAUUGAAGUUAAUAUAUAUGUUGUGUUAUUCGAUAACAGUUCUGACAAACAGCCACUAAUUUUAGAAGUUAAUAUAUAUCAUCUACUAUUUGAUAACGAUUCUGACACACAACCACUAAUUUCAGACCGUCAAACUAUCCAACUUGUAAAUGAUCCACUGUUGAAAGGGUGCUGCUCUCAGUACAUGUUCACAUUUGUACUCAUCAGCUCAUAUCCGCUUGAUUGUAAUAAAAAAUUAUAAAUGCUUCUGUUUUGGGAAGCAAAUUUUGUAAACGGAAGCAUUGAGCUUCCACAAUGUAUGGCAGUGGCGCUUUGUACUCUUGUUGCUUGUACAAGUACAUCUGUUUCCACCUUAAAGGAAAAAUGCACCUAGACAUUCUAAAACAAAAAUAACAAGUGGUGCAAUUCCAGGUGGAGGCCUGUACAAUAGAAUCCGUGCCACCCAUCUUGAAGUGCAUCCGUAAUCAAAACAAUGUCAAUACCAGAAAUAUAUCAUCAGUUCACAACAACAAUCUAAUAAACCUUAUGUUUAAAUUUGUUAUGUGAUCAUAAGAGUUUCAGUGAAAAAGAUUGGGCUCUAAAUGAUUGAUGACACUUUGUUCUUCAUAGUGUAAUGACACCAUACUACAGUGAGGAAACUGUAAUUCAAGAAACGACCUUGAUCUGGAGAAUGAGGAUAGUGUAUCAGUUAUAUUCUACCGCCAGAAGAUCUUUCUAGGUUCCUUUGCCGUUUGAUUUUUUUAUGCCUACAGUUAUGAAUUUGAUUCUCAGGUUUUUGUCUUCUAUUCUAAUUCUUCUUAUACAUGAAUGGAAUAAUUUCAUGGAAAGAAUUAAAUGCAAAAGAGAAACUAAAGUUUGGGGAAAUGAAGAAAAUGGUCUUCAACUUCGUCAUUGUGCCUCUCUUAGAGGCAGACACUCGAACAGUUAGAGGCAUGCUGUAUUAUAGGAAAGCUUUGAAGCUUCAAGCAUUCCUAGACAUGGCUUCUGAAUCUGGUGCCACCAAGAGACGUGCACGCACUCAUUUAAUCAAGUGCUCUAAUUUCAUAUCAUGCCUCGCCGAUUUUCCUGUCAAGUGCACCCAACUGUCACUGAUUCUGCCUUACCUUUACUUCCGAUGCUCAUUACUUACAUUUUACAACUCAUUUGCUCUAAAUUUCUUGUUCUUAUUCAGUUACUUUGUACUUAUGAUUGCGGAUCAUUUCAGUGCUUAGAGACUUGCAACUCAGGACACUAUAGUGCUCUGUCUUCAUGUGCACUCUAAUUUUGUGCAUGUGCAUUUCAUACCAUAGACAUCGAUGACUUCAUCUGUUUAUGUUAUAUUAUAUAGUUUUUGGCAUACACCUAUGUACCAGCUUUCUUCUAUUUCACUUAUUCAUCACACUUUGCACUUAGCUGAGCAUGUUACUUUAAAUCUGAUGCAAUAACAUUACAUAGUAUAUACAGGAAAGGGAAAGGGGGCGCCCCCCCACCUAGCACCGCUCAACUUCCUCUCAAGCGGCGCCACCGGGUGGCGCCCCAACCGCUAGUCAACUUCAUCCACAACGGCUACAGAUUUUUAGUGCCAUGAACACAAGUCCAAUCGCAGAAUCUUACAUUGAGCCGUGAACCAAUUGGCUCCUCUUUUAGGGUGAAUAUUUUUCUUGAACACCCAUUGUUAAAUUCAUGGAUCCGCCACUGCCAAGAGACCAAGGACUCAAGUGGGCGACUCCAAAAAUGGAUACUCCUGAAACUUUAGCCAGUGGCCAUGUUGAUGGUAUUUUUUGGAAACAGGGGAGGGCGUGUGUUAUUGUUCAAACCAUGCGCCUAUUUUUUUAAUCUUUUGCCAGUGACCACAUUGCCGCCUGAUUCUCGAGUGCAACCAAGAGGAAGGAUGGCACCGACAGUUGGGGCUCCGAGUAGGGCAAGUACCUUAUCUGCGAUCUUGGAUCGGGCUAUGUGAUGAAUCCAUUUGGGCAUGGUGAUUUUGGUGACGGAGGGAGAUCCCUGAUGCCAGCGUCGCCAUGGCUGAGAUGACAGAGAAGAAGGCCGACAACCUGGAUGCUUUCAAGUAGUCCAUCGAUCUGGUACUACCACGACCUCUGCUCUAUACUCCUCCCUCUAGGUUUGGGUGCAAGGAUAGCCUAGGGGUGGUGGUUCUUGGUGAAAUUUAAA